ACGAGGCACUACGGUGCUGAAGCAACAAAUGCCCUGCUUCCAGGAAAAGCCUCUAAGCAUCAGGUAACAUCAAAUCGUACCCCAAACCGACACAGGUGGUCAGGUAGAGAAUACCAAGGCGCUUGAGAGAACUCGGGUGAAGGAACUAGGCAAAAUGGUGCCGUAACUUCGGGAGAAGGCACGCUGACACGUAGGUGAAGUGAUUUACUCAUGGAGCUGAAGUCAGUCGAAGAUACCAGCUGGCUGCAACUGUUUAUUAAAAACACAGCACUGUGCAAACACGAAAGUGGACGUAUACGGUGUGACGCCUGCCCGGUGCCGGAAGGUUAAUUGAUGGGGUCAGCGCAAGCGAAGCUCCUGAUCGAAGCCCCGGUAAACGGCGGCCGUAACUAUAACGGUCCUAAGGUAGCGAAAUUCCUUGUCGGGUAAGUUCCGACCUGCACGAAUGGCGUAAUGAUGGCCAGGCUGUCUCCACCCGAGACUCAGUGAAAUUGAACUCGCUGUGAAGAUGCAGUGUACCCGCGGCAAGACGGAAAGACCCCGUGAACCUUUACUAUAGCUUGACACUGAACAUUGAGCCUUGAUGUGUAGGAUAGGUGGGAGGCUUUGAAGUGUGGACGCCAGUCUGCAUGGAGCCGACCUUGAAAUACCACCCUUUAAUGUUUGAUGUUCUAACGUGGACCCGUUACCCGGGUUGCGGACAGUGUCUGGUGGGUAGUUUGACUGGGGCGGUCUCCUCCUAAAGAGUAACGGAGGAGCACGAAGGUUGGCUAAUCCUGGUCGGACAUCAGGAGGUUAGUGCAAUGGCAUAAGCCAGCUUGACUGCGAGCGUGACGGCGCGAGCAGGUGCGAAAGCAGGUCAUAGUGAUCCGGUGGUUCUGAAUGGAAGGGCCAUCGCUCAACGGAUAAAAGGUACUCCGGGGAUAACAGGCUGAUACCGCCCAAGAGUUCAUAUCGACGGCGGUGUUUGGCACCUCGAUGUCGGCUCAUCACAUCCUGGGGCUGAAGUAGGUCCCAAGGGUAUGGCUGUUCGCCAUUUAAAGUGGUACGCGAGCUGGGUUUAGAACGUCGUGAGACAGUUCGGUCCCUAUCUGCCGUGGGCGCUGGAGAACUGAGGGGGGCUGCUCCUAGUACGAGAGGACCGGAGUGGACGCAUCACUGGUGUUCGGGUUGUCAUGCCAAUGGCACUGCCCGGUAGCUAAAUGCGGAAGAGAUAAGUGCUGAAAGCAUCUAAGCACGAAACUUGCCUCGAGAUGAGUUCUCCCUGAGACUUAAAGUCUCCUGAAGGAACGUUGAAGACGACGACGUUGAUAGGCCGGGUGUGUAAGCGCAGCGAUGCGUUGAGCUAACCGGUACUAAUGAACCGUGAGGCUUAACC
rnacentral:rRNA from 1 species